UACGUAGGGUGCAAGCGUUGUCCGGAAUUAUUGGGCGUAAAGAGCUCGUAGGCGGUUUGUUGCGUCGGCUGUGAAAUCCCGAGGCUCAACCUCGGGUCUGCAGUCGAUACGAGCAAACUAGAGUGUUGCAGGGGAGACUGGAAUUCCUGGUGUAGCGGUGAAAUGCGCAGAUAUCAGGAGGAACACCGGUGGCGAAGGCGGGGUCUCUGGGCAUUAACUGACGCUGGAGGAGCGAAAGCCAUGGGGAGCGAACAGGAUUAGAAACCCGUGG
rnacentral:rRNA from 1 species